AAUAGUUCGCAGCGCGCGUAUCCAACGUAAAUUAAAAAUUAUGUACGAAAGGUUUGUUCGUGCGUAAUAAUAAAAUGUCGUAACUGAAUUACUCGACUGAAUGUGUGCAGAGAGAAAAAGACAGUCGGCGGUUGUUGCGGUUCGAAAUGCUGUUCCGGAACACAGGAGGAAGGAGGGUGUUGUACCGGCGGGAAUGGACCAAAGGAACCAAAACAUUGUUGCGCCCAGGGAAAGUAACCAGCCUCGAACUUUUUAAACAAAGCUUGUCCUCAAAGGGGUUGAACAAAAGGGUAAACACUUAGCCAGGGAGGCGGCCGGUGGCUGUUGUAUGUCCGGUUGCUGUAAGGAUAAAGGAAAACCGAAAGAACCGGAAACUCCGUCUAGAUGUUGCGCCGAAAGGAAAUAAAGUCUACUAGACCCGCCAACGAUCGUUUAUAAAA